AGCGAACGCUGGCGGCAGGCUUAACACAUGCAAGUCGAGCGGGCACUUUCGGGUGUCAGCGGCGGACGGGUGAGUAACGCGUGGGAACGUGCCCUCUGGUUCGGAAUAACUCAGGGAAACUUGAGCUAAUACCGGAUACGCCCUUUUGGGGAAAGGCUUGCUGCCGGAGGAUCGGCCCGCGUCUGAUUAGCUAGAUGGUGAGGUAACGGCUCACCAAGGCGACGAUCAGUAGCUGGUCUGAGAGGAUGAUCAGCCACACUGGGACUGAGACACGGCCCAGACUCCUACGGGAGGCAGCAGUGGGGAAUAUUGGACCAUGGGCGCAAGCCUGAUCCAGCCAUGCCGCGUGAGUGAUCAAGGCCUUAGGGUUGUAAAGCUCUUUUAUCCGGGACGAUAAUGACGGUACCGGAGGAAUAAGCCCCGGCUAACUUCGUG
rnacentral:rRNA from 1 species